rnacentral:rRNA from 1 species
UAAUACGUAGGGUGCGAGCGUUAAUCGGAAUUACUGGGCGUAAAGCGUGCGCAGGCGGUUGAGUAAGUUUGAUGUGAAAUCCCCGGGCUCAACCUGGGAACUGCAUUGAAGACUGCUCGACUAGAGUACGGCAGAGGGGGGUAGAAUUCCACGUGUAGCAGUGAAAUGCGUAGAGAUGUGGAGGAAUACCGAUGGCGAAGGCAGCCCCCUGGGUCGAUACUGACGCUCAUGCACGAAAGCGUGGGGAGCAAACAGG